GAUGAACGCUGGCGGCGUGCCUAAUACAUGCCAGUCGAGCGAACAGACGAGGAGCUUGCUCCUCUGACGUUAGCGGCGGACGGGUGAGUAACACGUGGAUAACCUACCUAUAAGACUGGGAUAACUUCGGGAAACCGGAGCUAAUACCGGAUAAUAUAUUGAACCGCAUGGUUCAAUAGUGAAAGACGGUUUUGCUGUCACUUAUAGAUGGAUCCGCGCCGCAUUAGCUAGUUGGUAAGGUAACGGCUUACCAAGGCGACGAUGCGUAGCCGACCUGAGAGGGUGAUCGGCCACACUGGAACUGAGACACGGUCCAGGCUCCUACGGGAGGCAGCAGUAGGGAAUCUUCCGCAAUGGGCGAAAGCCUGACGGAGCAACGCCGCGUGAGUGAUGAAGGUCUUCGGAUCGUAAAACUCUGUUAUUAGGGAAGAACAAAUGUGUAAGUAACUAUGCACGUCUUGACGGUACCUAAUCAGAAAGCCACGGCUAACUACGUG
rnacentral:rRNA from 1 species